rnacentral:misc_RNA from 1 species
AAAACCUGUCGGGUUUGACUUCAAAGUUUGCAAUCUUUUUAAUAACAGUUUCCAAUAGGAUCCUCAGUUUGUGAUUGUAACCAACCACAGUCACCUGAAAACCACUGUCUGUAUUGGUAAUGCCAUAGUAUAGACCAGCAACCUGUGCAUAAUAAGCAUAUUCGUUCAGAUAAUCCAUUAGCAACUGAGUAAAAAUAUCAGUUAGAACUUCAGCCUCAGGAGAGCUGCCACCAUGGGGGCAACUGAAAUCUAUCUUAACAUAAGCCUUGGGCGUACGGAAUGCUGUGUCAGGCUUGUACCAUAAAGAUGAAUAGGACGACUUUUUUAACAGAACUGGAAAUUUGACCUUCUCUUGAGCAUCCUUCAGUGAUAGGUCAGUAGGGAUGAACACAUUCGGUGCUGGUAAAUGCAGCUUAUCAUUAGGAGCAGACAGCAUCCAUUCCUGAAUCAUGGAGCUGGUGAUUUUCUCAACAGUAUAUGCUGUUCCAUACCAUGGCUCUACCUUAUCAGUUUGUCCUUCAAAUUUCUUUGAUUCCCAAAAGAU